ACGGGUGCGUAACACGUGGGCAAUCUGCCCUCCGAUGGGGAAUACCCCCGCGAAAGCGGGACUAAUUCCGCAUAACAUUCCUUGGAUUAACUUUCGAGGAUUCAAAGCAGCAAUGCGUCGGAGGAGGAGCCCGCGCCCGAUUAGCUAGUUGGUGAGGUAACGGCUCACCAAGGCAAUGAUCGGUAGCUGGUCUGAGAGGAUGGCCAGCCACACUGGAACUGAGACACGGUCCAGACUCCUACGGGAGGCAGCAGUGGGGAAUCUUGCACAAUGGGCGAAAGCCUGAUGCAGCGACGCCGCGUGGGGGAUGAAGCUUUUCGGAGUGUAAACCCCUUUCGACUGGGACGAAUGCCUCGCAAGAGGAGUGACGGUACCAGUAUAAGAAGCCCCGGCUAACUACGUGCCAGCAGCCGCGG
rnacentral:rRNA from 1 species